AGAGUUUGAUCCUGGCUCAGGACGAACGCUGGCGGCGUGCCUAAUACAUGCAAGUCGAGCGAACUUGCGGGAGCUUGCUCCCAAAAGUUAGCGGCGGACGGGUGAGUAACACGUGGGCAACCUGCCUGUAAGACUGGGAUAACUUCGGGAAACCGGAGCUAAUACCGGAUAAUUCUUUUCCUCACAUGUGGAAAAGCUGAAAGAUGGCUCCGGCUAUCACUUACAGAUGGGCCCGCGGCGCAUUAGCUAGUUGGUGAGGUAACGGCUCACCAAGGCGACGAUGCGUAGCCGACCUGAGAGGGUGAUCGGCCACACUGGGACUGAGACACGGCCCAGACUCCUACGGGAGGCAGCAGUAGGGAAUCUUCCGCAAUGGACGAAAGUCUGACGGAGCAACGCCGCGUGAGUGAUGAAGGUUUUCGGAUCGUAAAACUCUGUUGUUAGGGAAGAACAAGUACCGUUCGAAUAGGGCGGUACCUUGACGGUACCUAACCAGAAAGCCACGGCUAACUACGUGCCAGCAGCCGCGGUAAUACGUAGGUGGCAAGCGUUGUCCGGAAUUAUUGGGCGUAAAGCGCGCGCAGGCGGUCUUUUAAGUCUGAUGUGAAAGCCCCCGGCUCAACCGGGGAGGGUCAUUGGAAACUGGGAGACUUGAGUGCAGAAGAGGAGAGUGGAAUUCCACGUGUAGCGGUGAAAUGCGUAGAGAUGUGGAGGAACACCAGUGGCGAAGGCGACUCUCUGGUCUGUAACUGACGCUGAGGCGCGAAAGCGUGGGGAGCGAACAGGAUUAGAUACCCUGGUAGUCCACGCCGUAAACGAUGAGUGCUAAGUGUUAGAGGGUUUCCGCCCUUUAGUGCUGCAGCAAACGCAUUAAGCACUCCGCCUGGGGAGUACGGCCGCAAGGCUGAAACUCAAAGGAAUUGACGGGGGCCCGCACAAGCGGUGGAGCAUGUGGUUUAAUUCGAAGCAACGCGAAGAACCUUACCAGGUCUUGACAUCCUCUGACAAUCCUAGAGAUAGGACUUUCCCCUUCGGGGGACAGAGUGACAGGUGGUGCAUGGUUGUCGUCAGCUCGUGUCGUGAGAUGUUGGGUUAAGUCCCGCAACGAGCGCAACCCUUGAUCUUAGUUGCCAGCAUUCAGUUGGGCACUCUAAGGUGACUGCCGGUGACAAACCGGAGGAAGGUGGGGAUGACGUCAAAUCAUCAUGCCCCUUAUGACCUGGGCUACACACGUGCUACAAUGGAUGGUACAAAGGGCUGCAAGACCGCGAGGUUUAGCCAAUCCCAUAAAACCAUUCUCAGUUCGGAUUGCAGGCUGCAACUCGCCUGCAUGAAGCCGGAAUCGCUAGUAAUCGCGGAUCAGCAUGCCGCGGUGAAUACGUUCCCGGGCCUUGUACACACCGCCCGUCACACCACGAGAGUUUGUAACACCCGAAGUCGGUGGGGUAACCGCAAGGAGCCAGCCGCCUAAGGUGGGACAGAUGAUUGGGGUGAAGUCGUAACAAGGUAGCCGUAUCGGAAGGUGCGGCUGG
rnacentral:rRNA from 1 species